rnacentral:rRNA from 1 species
GAUGAACGCUGGCGGCGUGCCUAAUACAUGCAAGUCGAGCGAACAGACGAGGAGCUUGCUCCUUUGACGUUAGCGGCGGACGGGUGAGUAACACGUAGGUAACCUACCUAUAUGACUGGGAUAACUUCGGGAAACCGGAGCUAAUACCGGAUAAUAUUUCGAACCGCAUGGUUCGAUAGUGAAAGAUGGCUUUGCUAUCACUUAUAGAUGGACCUGCGCCGUAUUAGCUAGUUGGUAAGGUAACGGCUUACCAAGGCAACGAUACGUAGCCGACCUGAGAGGGUGAUCGGCCACACUGGAACUGAGACACGGUCCAGACUCCUACGGGAGGCAGCAGUAGGGAAUCUUCCGCAAUGGGCGAAAGCCUGACGGAGCAACGCCGCGUGAGUGAUGAAGGUCUUCGGAUCGUAAAACUCUGUUAUUAGGGAAGAACAAACGUGUAAGUAACUGUGCACGUCUUGACGGUACCUAAUCAGAAAGCCACGGCUAACUACGUG